CCUACGGGAGGCAGCAGUGAGGAAUAUUGGACAAUGGGCGCAAGCCUGAUCCAGCCAUGCCGCGUGCAGGAAGAAGCAUCUAUGGUGUGUAAACUGCUUUUGUACAGGAAGAAACACUCCCUCGUGAGGGAGCUUGACGGUACUGUAAGAAUAAGGACCGGCUAACUCCGUGCCAGCAGCCGCGGUAAUACGGAGGGUCCGAGCGUUAUCCGGAAUCAUUGGGUUUAAAGGGUCCGUAGGCGGUUUAAUAAGUCAGUGGUGAAAUCUGGUCGCUCAACGAUCAAACGGCCAUUGAUACUGUUAGACUUGAAUUAUAAGGAAGUAACUAGAAUAUGUAGUGUAGCGGUGAAAUGCUUAGAUAUUACAUGGAAUACCAAUUGCGAAGGCAGGUUACUACUUAUGGAUUGACGCUGAUGGACGAAAGCGUGGGGAGCGAACAGGAUUAGAUACCCUGGUAGUCCACGCCGUAAACGAUGGAUACUAGCUGUUCGGAGCAAUCUGAGUGGCUAAGCGAAAGUGAUAAGUAUCCCACCUGGGGAGUACGUUCGCAAGAAGAGAAGUAAAGUAGAGUAGAGCGNGAGAGAGCGACGACGACGACGAGGGAGGAGG
rnacentral:rRNA from 1 species